AUAUUGGACUGACUUUUUUGUUUGUAAAUGCUCUGAUAUACGGUCUCAAAGUGCAAGCAACGGGAGGAAAAUCAAGCAGAAUGGAGUGCCGAGUCGCCGCGGUCGGGCACACAGCGGGGAUGGCCGUGGAAUGCCGGCUGGAAUGACAAACGGGCAUCAGACCCGGGGACUGGAAGGUUCUCUUCCUAUCCCCUAAAAAACAAACCGGAGGCUUUGGACGGAGGGAUUGAGACUCACUGGUGUGACACAACGACGCGCCGAGAUGGGGUACCGGUGAUUUGGAUUGUAAACGACAACCCCUGGGUAACGUGAGCGACAGGACGGCGCACGAAGCGGACCUAUAACUCCCCGUGCUGCUGAAGAUAAGAGGAACUGAUUACGAGUUUUUGUGACACCAGGGUCGACAUAUACACAGACACACGCACAUCGGCAACAAUAAUACCGGGAGAAGAAAACACAACAAACGGGAUGCUUGCAAAAUACAGGGCCGGGGUGUCUGUGAAAAAUGUAAAUCACCGGAGGGAGUUUCAUUGUGCAGUUUCACCUGAUACCAGUAACAUUGCUGAAGAGGCCGUAGUACCAUGACCGCGCAUUGGAAAGUGCCCGUUAACUGUUAGCAGACAAAGUGCGUCUAUAUCUAUACGGCCGAAGGCGACAGGAGUUUGCACGGCAUGCAUCGACGAUGACAGCAAUAGGUCUUCUCAGGUCAGCCAAGCAUAACCUUAGCCCGUCAACAUCACCGAGACUUCGCUUUAAUUGCUUGUACUCUAGCCGUCAGUUCAUAUUUUCUUUCCUUUGGAUGGUUGGUAAAUAGUUAUAUAAAGCACUUGUAUGGGUGUGUGCAUUUGUGUAUCAUGUCGCGCGUUUUUGUUUGAGUGUCUAAAGUUUGUGUAACAACUUGUUUUCUCAAGUGCACCCGUGUUAUGUACCUUUACGGCAGAUAAACCACCAAAUAAGUGUUUAUCGAGCACACAAGCAUCUAUGUGCAUUUACUGAUUACAUUUGUGUACAUUAAAAGUUGACUUCCAACUGAUGGUAUACGCAUGACAAAUUUACAUCAAUAAAUAUGCAUUGCCAUCACAUUCUGCAUUUGUUUAGAACUCCAGAGACACACCGUACGCCCGCGAAAAGUAUAUAUGCCCUAUGACAACUUUGUCUGGACUGCAGGUAUAUAUGUUCUCGGCUGAAUACAAAUUUAGAGAAGAGUUGGAUAACGCGAACGGGUAAACGCACGGGGAGAAUGGUAGCCGUCUCAUUUCUGGUUCAGCCAGGCUCCCAGGGCAGAGACGCAGGCGCAGCGAUGGCAAAGCCACAGUGCGAUCCCGACGCCGCAGAGCCUCGAGGACAAGGUUGAGCCUGUCAGAGAAUCUCCGUACCGUGGGGAGUAAGAGAUGCGACAGAGGGGAAAAAAUGUGACACGGAAAGGCAAUUAGCAGCGGUGCUUUUAAUCUGUCGCGAUUAAGGGAAUAUUUCCCCUCGGUUUCAUUCCUCAAGAGGUUGGGUGAUGAAGACGCGACUCCUGAAACAAGCGCUGCGCAUUAGUCGGGGCAUGCAUACCUACCUCCAGGCCCUGGCACCACCCCGGACAGUCGGGUCCCUAUUAAACCGAGCGGCUAAUCAAAUCAAGGGGGAUCCUUGAAAACAAUGGUGAUUCAAUUAGACAGGCUGGCACGAUGAGCCGGAAUUAGAAGGGCUGUUUGCUCUCGAUUUUAUACAGCCGGGCAGUCCAGUUGAAUGAGUCUGGGUUUUUAAAGUAUUUUUCCCUGACAAAAUAUGGCAAAUUGUUGCCAUGUUUAGAUAAGUCAUCAAGCGAUGGAGAGAUGCAUAUGCACCCUGGGGCUUGGACCGUGAAACUUCUUGAAAACUGGGUUUCUGUUUGCACCGGCUUUCCUCUUGCGCUCAACAUCCCUGCAUUGCCCUGCCCGACAUUUUGUAAAUGUACCAAGUUCAUUGUAGGUUUUUAUCGUAUUGGUAAACGGAACUGAAGUUCUGAUGCAGUAAUGUUCGGAUAACACAGUCGUUAUCUUGAAUGUCUUCAUCUGAUAGGCAUGCGAAAUUUAUUUCAGUGUUUGGUGAAACGACUUACGAGCAAUUUUCGCACGGCACCUUCUUCAUGAUCGUCAACAAGUUCCAUCAAUGCAUGUAAUACAUGGUAUUUGAGACAGUUUUUCGGAAGUUUUGUGGAUGUUGUGUGAAAUAUGUUGAAGCGAUUAAAUUCCGCUGCAGAUGCAUGU